GUGGCCUCCACAUCAGGCACCUCGGAUUUCUAGCUGGUCAGGGAGAAGGAGCGGGAGGUGGCCUGGGACUUUAGUGAGGACGGCCUUGUGUGACCGAGCCCGGGCGAAAUCAGCGGCCGGUCGCACCGGUCUCCGGAGGGUAGUGAGAGGAAAAACCCAGCCGCCUGGGCAACGGAAGCGUUCUGAGGGCAGAGAGGGAGCCCUUGCGGGAGGGGCGGGGGGCGUGUCGGAGCCGCGGGCGCAGCGUGGACGGCGGCCGCGACGCAGCGAGGCCACGUGGGGCUUCCGCAGGGCGCGGAUCCCGUCGCGGAGAGGAAGCCCUCGCUGGGAAAGCCAAGGACUUUACAAAGCAGCGGCCGAAGACCACCCACUUUUGGGCAAGGACGCCCGGGAAGGAUUCCAGCAAGGCGGCCCCGGAAGCUGGCGUGGCAGCGCUUCUGUUGUCUGCGAGGUGGAGUUGUAAUAAUCCACGCGACCUUAUUUUUCACGAGGGUUUUGAAGAUGACAGGCAAAACGAUCUUCUGUGUCGUUAGGAGUGACAACGGAGCCCGAUUAUGCCGAGUGCCUUCCAUAAUGCAGCAGGAGAGGCAGGGCCGGCAACCACUGCCACCUUUUCCGUGUAACCAAAGUGAAGACCAGCUACUCUGCCAUCUGUCCACGCAGGCUUUCCGCACGCCCUGGCCUCCUUCCUGGCUGAUCCACUGUCCCUCUGACAGCAUCGCACCUGCGAAUGGAUGCCAUAAUGCUGGUCACAAACUCCUUGUGAGGUCGGUGGGGCAGUUCAUGAGGACUAUUCUGCAGCCUUGGAAAUGAAAACUCAAAGAGGAUUUGCAGGAAAAUGCAGAUGGGCCCAGAGCGGCCCAAGUGACAUCUGGAAGGAUGUGACAGAAUUUGCUACUGGAACCUCUGCUUUUCUUACCUGCGUCGAUCAUUCGUCAUCCUUUCCCCAGAAUGGCUCAAAUAGAAUAAAGACUUCUCUGGGUCUGUGACUGGCCUUGGCCUGGCUCUGUUUGCACUGGAGGAGUGGGCUGGGCAGAGGGUGGGGGUCAGGCUCACUCAUCAUUCCAGUGGAGGAAAAGCACAGUUCAGUGCCUUUUUGUUUGUUUUUACAAACUCGAUGGGACCACCUCCACCCCCAUCACCACCCAAUUUGCAAUCAGACCUUCCCCAGACUCUGGAACACAGCCUCACACAGCCACAAGCUCCAAACAGCAGUGGAUGAAUGGUAAAACCUGAAAUGAUGUCAACGGCUUGUGCCGAAGCCAAGGAAAAUAUGUGGGGGCCCUCGGUGGCUUCAUCCCUGUGCUUGCUGCAACGCAGCUGCGAGUCAUAAGUUUUCCUUGUGAACAGACCAAGCACAGUCCCUGUGAAUUAGAUUCUGAGCCCAGCAUACCCUUUGGACCUCUGGCAUCCUCCCUCUCCCGGCUGCCUGUCCUCCUUGAAGAACUGAGUUCUCUAAGAGGUCAGAAAGGGGACAUGAUGGGGUGGCCGCAUGGGUGGCCAGAACUGGUGGCAUUUUGGAAGCCUUUUGAGGAAGAGCUUCAAGUCCACAAGGCGUGGUGGUGGGGAGGGAGAGGGAGCACCUAGCAGGCAGGGCAAGAGACAGGACGUCAGAGAUGGAAUCCCACAGCCGAAGUGACUCCGAGACUGGGGACAGCUGUUUCGACAGUUCAAGUCCUUAUGCCUACUUUUUCUUGAUGUAUUGAGAUUUUUGCAUUUUGUUUCUUAUUUUGAAGGGUGAGGGGCUUGAGUUGCCUAGAAUGAGUGUUUCAAUGUUUCUCUUGAUUCUGUUCAUGAAAAAAAAUUAUUUCAAAGUUUGUGGAAAAAAAUGGAAUUCAAAGAGAAUUUUACUUUGGUGCAAAAAGUUUUUUGAAAUCCAUGCAUAGUUUUUUUUUUAUCAUACAUCUUUUU